UACAGAGGUCUCAAGCGUUGUUCGGAAUCACUGGGCGUAAAGGGUGCGUAGGUGGCGGGGUAAGUCAGAUGUGAAAGCCCAGGGCUCAACCCUGGAAUUGCAUCCGAUACUGCUUUGCUAGAGUACUGGAGGGGUGACUAGAAUUCUCGGUGUAGCAGUGAAAUGCGUAGAUAUCGAGAGGAAUACCAAAGGCGUAGGCAGGUCACUGGACAGUUACUGACACUGAGGCACGAAGGCCAGGGGAGCGAACGGG
rnacentral:rRNA from 1 species